GUUUUGCUCUGCCUCCUCCCACACCAGAAGUGAGCAUCAGGUGGUGGCGAGCGCGGGGACAGGGUGAAAGCUGUGCGGGUCGGCGACAGAUGUGCGGAUAAUCACCUUGCUGGUCACGGGCCACCAUCACCACGGAGCCAAGGAAUUUUCUGUCGCGAGCCCCGCUAACGGGCUUGCCGCCGAGAACUCUGGGAAAUGUAGUUAGGCGCGAGCAAGCUGCCGUUAGUUGCCGGUCUGAGGCGGGAACCGCGGCCCCGCAUGUGUUCGCGGCUCGGGUCAGCCUUCCACGAGCUCCUGAAGUUCUGUCGUUCCUCAUGGCCUCCAGUUCAGGAAGCUUCUAGAACAUGUGGCACCUCUACAAUGGAAACAAGAUCCGCAUCAUCAGCUUCAGAUGUGUUCUUGGAACCCUGAGUUCGCCUCGGCAGCUGUCCGAAAGUUAAUCCUGUGAAGGGACCUGAAGCAGACCCUCUGCGGAAGUCCCAAGCACCCACGAAGAACAUCGCAGUGUAUUCAUUCCCCUUCCGGUGGCCUCGGGAUCCAAGCAGGAAAGAAGAGGGAAGAACUCUGAAGGACACGAGCGACCCAGCUUACAGUCCAGCACAGGUUGCUCUGACGAUGUUUACAGGUAAACCGUCCACAGCGGUGGCUUCUGGAACACUCGGCGGCCAGGCCUUCCUGCCGAUCACAGACAAUAUUUGAGAGAGAGCCGCGUCUUGUCUUUUGCAUUCUCCAAGGAGUCUCCAAGUGCCAAAACACUGAGGGAAGGGCUGUGCCUCGGUAGCUGUGUGUCACUAUGGACUCUGUGGUAUAGGAGACGGGCUCCGGCCAUUUGCCUUUGAAGAUGAACUUUUCCUUUCCCAGACAGUUUUCAUACAGGGCGGUAGGAGAUUUCUUAUUGCUAUACCUUCCACCCUAGCCCUGACCCUCGCCGCCAGCCCGCCUAGCCAUAUUAGCUCAGAAGAUCCAUAAAGGGGAAAGAGCCCCUGUCCCCUCCCCUCUGCUUGAACAUGUUAUUAGUUUGAGUUGUGUUAGGAUGCAGGAGUGACCUUGGGAAAAGGGGCGCUUGGUGACUAAGCAAGAAUGGGCAUGGGUGUGCUGACUCACCACAGGCAGCUUGCAUGGGAGGCUGGCUCGAGGACCACCCUCAGGGUGACCUUGGAGGACUGCAGGCUCAGAGCCAGAGACCCAUACCUGUCGGGCAAACUGUAACUUCCAAACUUAGUAGGCAGACAGUUUAUGGAGAUAACACAGAGAUGAAGGAGUACACUGAGCUGUUCCCUAAGGGGGCCCCAGGCGAAGGUCAUAGCCCUUUCUUUUCACCUACAGCUGAGUUCUGGGUCCCACCAAGGAUAGAACUCCCCUUCCUUGUUGGCUAUGAAAAUUUCUUAAUGACUCUAAAUCCCAAUUUCCCCUAUGACCACAGCACCGCUUCCAACCUUCUUCCCAAGCAAGUGCGUUAAGAGAUGGAGAUGUAGCUCAAUUGGUAAGGUGCUUGCCUAGCGUACAGAGACCCCUGGUUCCCUCUGGCGAUGCUUCAUAAACCAGGUGUGGUGGUACGCUCUUGUAAUCCCAGUACUUGGGAACAUGUGGGCAGGCCACAUCCGAAUCCAUUGUCUCCUGUGUACUGGACUCUGGCUCUGGAAAUAAGUUGCUGGGAUGUAAUCUGUGCUGAGUCUCUAGAACAGCGUCCCCAGCUGGACCUAGAAUGACUGUCCCGAGUCACAUUCAACAAGAAGAAGCGCAACAGGGUAGAAGAGACAGAAGUGGAGAAAGGGCAGGUUCUGAAGGAACAAAGGCCUAGGAUGAAAGGUAAUCCAGGCCCCUUCUAAAGCGGGCGGGCACUCAGGACAUCAGUCUAGAAAGCUGUAAAGAUCCCCCUGCUGAUCUUGGCAGCACACACCUGUAAUCCCAGCACUUAGGGGAUAGAGGCAAGGCAGGGCACUCAAGAGUUCAAAGUCAUCCUCGGCUACAAAGUGAGUCUGAGACUAGUCUGGAUGUCAUAAUUGAAAUCCUUCCUCCACACAAACAAACAGAAGCUGUUUAGGCCCCGGGCUGUGUUUCUCAUUGCCCUACUUCCUGAUCUAAGGUUACCAGCAAGGCUCCCAGCUGUUCCUUUGAGCCAGCUGUGUCUUCAUUGAGGUCACUGUCAUUCUGUCAUCCCCCCAUCUCUGUGUGAGAAGAUCUCUCUAUUUAUUUAUUUAUUGGUUUUUUGAGACA